ACUUUUAUUAACUGGGACAAUUUAGCUGUAAUCAUUUUUUUAUGAUUAACAUAUUGCGACACUCAUACAUAACUUAGACGUUUAGGACUGUAUCGUUUUAGUGUCACCAUUCCGUAGUUUAACUGAUUAUAAUCCAUAUAUAUUCUUUUUGCAGUCUUUAUUAGGUGACAAUCUUCAUAAAGGACAAAUACGAUUACGCUUAGUGCAAGAAUUUGUAUGAUGUCAUUUUAUUUCGGGUUAGUAAACUCUGUCAAAACGCCAUGCAUUGUUAUAUGUAAGGGAGCGAUAUCUGUUUAAAAAGAAUGAAGUCAGAUAAUCCCCGUAAAAGUUCCUAUUGGCGGAUGAUGUCAUGCUCAUGCGCAGACGGUCUCGUCCCGCAAACCCUUGAAUGACGAGGCUCCUGGGAGAGCUGCAUCCUGAAUACAGCUGCAGUCUUCUUCUCUUGGCUGAUUCUGGCAAACUCAGUUCCGUUUAUUCUGCUGGAAGGAAACGUCCGACGAGGAAGUGCUUUCCGGGGAAACUGGCCGCACACCUCUUCGGCACCGUGAGGGAGAUGAGGACCUCGGGAUUAAUCCCGUCUGUGCCGGGCUCGUCCGCAUCCCAGCCUUCGACAGAGAGUUGGUGGUGAGCAGGGAGGUGGCCAGGAUACUGCUGUAUGGUUCCCUUACAUCCGUGUGAUCGGCUUCAGGCCCCAGGAUGGCAUCAAUCACCAAGUUAUAGGCGUCAUUAAUCAACUGGACCUAAACCGGGAUAGAGUCAACACUGUCUAAACUCUGGUUUCUAUAUGAUGCAUUUUAAUAACUUGACAGAACCUUAAAAAGUCCUUUAAGUAUUGCAACACACACAUGUAUUAGUGAAAAUUGUGUAAAAAAAUAUAUAUUUUUUUAAAUGUCAAACUAGCUGUUCAGUUCGUAAAUGCGGUUAAAAUGACUGAAUCCUUUGUUAACAAUCCAUAUUGUUGCUUCGCUUGACAGGUAUCCUGGGUCAGUGAUUCUCAACCUGGGGGACUGCAGCCCACUGGGGGGCAUCAGUCAGGCCCACUGGGGACAUGCAAUUUAUUUGAAAAGUGAAGAAAAAAAAUAUGACAUUGACAUAUGAUCUGGCCGGUAGCCUGUAUCAAAAAAUUUUACAGUAUAUUGAUAUUUUUGCUAAACGAGAUGUAGGAUAAUAAAUGUUUAUAUCAAUAUAGUUUAAUUGUAUUAAAAUUAGGGCUAUUUUUAAUAGAAACCAAAAGUGGUCCUUCCUAGUUUUAAACAGCUGGAGGGCUUUGGUCAUGACAUUACACAGAAUCCCAGAAUUCACAGCUAAAAAUCAAUUCGCGGCGUCUCAGAGAAGCCGAGAGAGGGGAAAGGCAAGGACUCAUCGUUACAUUUACUUUCAGCUUUUCAAGACACCCGAAGCACUUCACAGACCUGGAUGAUGCAACAGCAGCCAUUCAAUGCCAGUACACUCAUCACAGUAGCUAGGGGGAUUAAUUUUAAUAGGGGAUGAUUAGGAGGCCAGAUCUGAAAGGGCCACAGUGGCCAGUUUAGUCAGAACAUCAGGGUACCACCCCCAGGGAUCUUUUAUGACAGUGAGUCAGGACCUCGGUUAUACGUUAUCAUUUGAAGGAUGGCGCCACUCUACAGCACUGUAUCUCCAUCAUUGCACUGGGGCCCCAACAGACCUCAGGAUGGACUAACCUGUUGGCCUCACCAACACCUCCUCCAGCAGCAACUCACUUUCCUAGUUUGUCUCCCAUCCAAGUACUGGCCAGUACUUAGCUUCAGAUGCAUUACCUACUCUGACCUGCAGGUGGCACGGCUGCUGAUACACUUGGUUCACUUCAAUUGAAACAUUGUUAAAAAUAUCACAGUUUGUAACAUGUCAUUUUGUUAAAGGCUAAUGCCUUAAAAUGAAGGUCUUUUCAGUUAAGAACGUUUAAUGUUUGUCAGGUUUCUGAUUUUAGAGCCAUUUCCCAAAUAGGUUUUAAAUAUAGUUUUUUUUGUUCACAAACAUUCACCCUCUGUUCUGAGAACAAUAUCACAAACUGAGGGGAAAAAACAGUGUUAUAAUGGUGGACAUGUGCAAACGAAAUUACAUCGUUUGGCAGUGUAACCAAAUUAAAUUGUAUUAAUAAACGAUG